rnacentral:rRNA from 1 species
UACGAAGGGGGGCUAGCGUUGCUCGGAAUUACUGGGCGUAAAGGCGCGUAGGCGGAUAGUUUAGUCAGAGGUGAAAGCCCAGGGCUCAACCUUGGAACUGCCUUUGAUACUGGCUAUCUUGAGUUCGGGAGAGGUGAGUGGAAUGCCGAGUGUAGAGGUGAAAUUCGUAGAUAUUCGGCGGAACACCAGUGGCGAAGGCGAACUCGACUGGCCCGAGUACCUGAC